rnacentral:rRNA from 1 species
CGGUGUUCAACUGGCGUGUCCGCGGGACGUCCUGCCGGUGGGCUUAGCCCGCAAGGGCGGCCCAACUUCAAAUCCCAUCGCGGUGCUCUUCACUGAGUGUCGAGGUGGGCCGGCACGUUUACUUUGAACAAAUUAGAGUGCUUAAAGCAGGCUAAAACUUCGCCUGAAUACUGUGUGCAUGGAAUAAUGGAAUAGGACCUCGGUUCUAUUUUGUUGGUUUUCGGAACCCCGAGGUAAUGAUUAAUAGGAACGGAUGGGGGCAUUCGUAUUGCGACGUUAGAGGUGAAAUUCUUGGAUCGUCGCAAGACGGACAGAAGCGAAAGCAUUUGCCAAAAACGCUUUCGUUGAUCAAGAACGAAAGUUAGAGGUUCGAAGGCGAUCAGAUACCGCCCUAGUUCUAACCAUAAACGAUGCCAGCUAGCGAUCCGUCGACGUUCCUCCGAUGACUCGACGGGCAGCUUCCGGGAAACCAAAGCUUUUGGGUUCCGGGGGAAGUAUGGUUGCAAAGCUGAAACUUAAAGGAAUUGACGGAAGGGCACCACCAGGAGUGGAGCCUGCGGCUUAAUUUGACUCAACACGGGAAACCUCACCAGGCCCGGACACCGGAAGGAUUGACAGAUUGAGAGCUCUUUCUUGAUUCGGUGGGUGGUGGUGCAUGGCCGUUCUUAGUUGGUGGAGCGAUUUGUCUGGUUAAUUCCGAUAACGAACGAGACUCUAGCCUGCUAACUAGGCGUAUUUUCGACAUCUCAAAGGUCCGUCGUCCCGGCCCUCGGGUCGUGGGCGUGCGCGAUUUUUACUGUCGGCGUACUAUCAAUUCUUCUUAGAGGGACAGGUGGCUUCUAGCCGCACGAGAUUGAGCAAUAACAGGUCUGUGAUG